rnacentral:rRNA from 1 species
GCGGUAGCACAGAGAGCUUGCUCUCGGGUGACGAGCGGCGGACGGGUGAGUAAUGUCUGGGAAACUGCCUGAUGGAGGGGGAUAACUACUGGAAACGGUAGCUAAUACCGCAUAAUGUCGCAAGACCAAAGUGGGGGACCUUCGGGCCUCAUGCCAUCAGAUGUGCCCAGAUGGGAUUAGCUAGUAGGUGGGGUAACGGCUCACCUAGGCGACGAUCCCUAGCUGGUCUGAGAGGAUGACCAGCCACACUGGAACUGAGACACGGUCCAGACUCCUACGGGAGGCAGCAGUGGGGAAUAUUGCACAAUGGGCGCAAGCCUGAUGCAGCCAUGCCGCGUGUGUGAAGAAGGCCUUCGGGUUGUAAAGCACUUUCAGCGGGGAGGAAGGCGGUGAGGUUAAUAACCUUGUCGAUUGACGUUACCCGCAGAAGAAGCACCGGCUAACUCCGUGCCAGCAGCCGCGGUAAU